CUGCGGCUGCUAGCAGCUGAUGCGGCUGUAGCGCGGCUGAAAUUUUUUCAGCCGUGUUCAGCCGCUAGCGGCUGUGAGCAGCCGCACGGCUGAUUUCAGCCGCUUCAGCCGUGUUCAGCUGUUACGUUAUUUUUGUUGACCAGUGCAGGAAGGUGGCAGCCGCUUCAGCCAUGUUCAGCCGCUAGCGGCUGUGAGCAGCCGCACGGCUGAUUUCAGCCGCUUCAGCCGUGUUCAGCCGUGAUGUUAUUUUUGUUGACCAG
rnacentral:lncRNA from 1 species